rnacentral:rRNA from 1 species
GCAAUGCGUGGCAUACGGUUCAGUAACACGUAGUCAACAUGCCCAGGGGACGUGGAUAACCUCGGGAAACUGAGGAUAAACCGCGAUAGGCCAAGGUUUCUGGAAUGGACACUGGCUGAAACCUAUAUGGCCCCUGGAUUGGACUGCGGCCGAUCAGGCUGUUGGUGAGGUAAUGGCCCACCAAACCUGUAACCGGUACGGGCUUUGAGAGAAGGAGCCCGGAGAUGGGCACUGAGACAAGGGCCCAGGCCCUAUGGGGCGCAGCAGGCGCGAAAAUUCUGCAAUAGGCGAAAGCUUGACAGAGUUACUCUGAGUGAUGCCCGCUAAGGGCAUCUUUUGGCACCUCUAAAAAUGGUGCAGAAUAAGGGGUGGGCAAGUCUGGUGUCAGCCGCCGCGGUAAUACCAGCACCCCGAGUGGUCGGGACGAUUAUUGGGCCUAAAGCAUCCGUAGCUUGUUCUGCAAGUCUUCCGUUAAAUCCACCUGCUCAACAGAUGGGCUGCGGGAGAUACUACAGGGCUAGGAGGCGGGAGAGGCAAGCGGUACUCAGUGGGUAGGGGUAAAAUCCUCUGAUCCACUGAAGACCACCAGUGGCGAAGGCGGCUUGCCAGAACGCGCUCGACGGUGAGGGAUGAAAGCUGGGGGAGCAAACCGGAUUAGAUACCCGGGUAGUCCCAGCUGUAAACGA